rnacentral:RNase_P_RNA from 1 species
GUCGGACGGUUCGUCGCUGGCGGUCAUUUAGGCCGAAAGAGGAAAGUCCGGGCAGCACAGGGCAUCCUACUUCCUAAUAUAGAAGCAGUCCGCGAGGGUUGAGUAAUGCAGAAGAAAAUAACCGCCCCGCCUCGGUGGGGUAAGGGUGAGAAGGUAGGGUAAGAGCCUACCAGCGGUGUGGUGACACAUUGGCUGUGCAUCUUAGGAGCUGCAAGUUCAUGUAAACUGCCGUUUGAGGGUAGCCCGCCCAAGGUAGAGGGUAGAACGCUUGAGGCAUGCGGUGACGCGUGUCGUAGAUAAAUGACGAACAACUGAUCGGACUCCCGUCCUGACCAGUUACAGAACCCGGCUUAUAGUCCGACUGC